rnacentral:rRNA from 1 species
AUGGACGCGGCAAAGGGAAUCCUAGAAUGCUUCGGCGAGGCCACGGGACUUCGCUGCAACUUCGCCAAGAGCUCCAUCUCCUUGAUCCGCUGCAGUGUGGACGACGUACAGGGCAUUGUUCAGGCGGCGGGCUGCGCCGUCAAGGAGUUGCCAAUCACCUACCUUGGCCUUUCCCUAUCGCUGCGUGCCCUGACCCGUACUGAGCUCCAACCCCUUGUGGACAGGAUUGCAGCCCAGCUGCCUACAUGGAAGGCCGGCCUCCUCCGUCGAGCAGGCAGACUGACGCUGGUGAACUGCAAACUCACAGCGAUGCCUAUCUUUCACCUGAUGGCGCUGGAUCUCCCACAAUGGUUCUUCAAAUGUAUCGAUAAGCUGCGUAGGGGCUUCUUCUGGGGCGGGCUCGAGGACGCCAGGGGCGGGUGCUGUCUCGUGGCUUGGUAUAUUGUUUGCUCCCCGAAGCCUCUGGGUGGGCUGGGCGUGCUCAAUCUGCGGCUUCUGAACCAAGCAUCGCGGUUGCGCUGGCUUUGGUUUCAGAAAACGGUGAUGGAUAAGUCUUGGGCAGGCCUGGAACUGGGCAUCUCGGACAUGGCCAUGUCUCUUGGCCAGGCGGCGCUCAGGUGCACCAUGAGGAACGGGCGCGGAGCUAGCUUUUGGCAUGACUCUUGGCUCGACGGCCGCGCUCUAGCGCUAAGGGCUCCACAUCUCCUUCAUUUCGUCCAGCCGGCCAGCAAAAGGAUGAGCGUCGCGGAGGCCUUGCAUGAUCAUGCCUGGGUUCAUGCAAUUCGUGGAGCACCAACGGUGCCGGCCAUCGCCGAGUUCCUCGACAUCUGGGAGGACGUGCGGCAUGUCACUCUUUCGGAGGCGCCAGACGAGACGAGUUCUCCUAGCAGCUUGGAGUGGCCGCCAAGUACUCCUCCCGGGACACUUACGCCGCCUUCUUCCUGGGAAGGGAGCUCGCGCCAUGCGCGGACCACAUCUGGCGAUCUUGGGCGCCGCUCGAAGUUAAGAUCUUUGCAUGGCUUGCGGUGA